rnacentral:rRNA from 1 species
UACGUAGGGUGCGAGCGUUAAUCGGAAUUACUGGGCGUAAAGCGUGCGCAGGCGGUUUUGUAAGUCAGAUGUGAAAUCCCCGGGCUUAACCUGGGAACUGCGUUUGAAACUACAAGGCUAGAGUGUGACAGAGGGGGGUGGAAUUCCACGUGUAGCAGUGAAAUGCGUAGAGAUGUGGAGGAACACCGAUGGCGAAGGCAGCCCCCUGGGUUAACACUGACGCUCAGGCACGAAAGCGUGGGGAGCAAACAGG